CGCCUUCUCUCGUGCCGGAGCAUCGUUAACGAGGCAGCCCGUGCUCGGUUCUCACCACGAACCAAAGACGAGUAGCGAAGGAUUCGCAAGAAGCUUUCUUUCCUCGGAACACAUCCGCAAUCGCUUGCUCUCAGGAUCAAAUCUUCUCCCUUCUGGAAAUGGUGCUACAAUAAGAGUAACCUCUUUCGUCAUCGGACAAAUAUGUGCAGGUUUGGCAACUGAUUAGUAGCCUAAGAUGCCGCUAGAAGAGAAGAAACACUAGUAUCUGUUUCAACUUCUUUGCAAAAACUGAGCAAGAGCCUUAUAUUAAUUUUCUUACUCCGCCAUUUAACGAUGCUCCUCUUGCUGGAAAGUUAGAGGUUGAACAAGUAGUUGAACAGAAACUCCACUGUGCGUGUGUUCAUCACCAUUUGCAUUAUUAGGCAUUCAGCUGAUGGUAUCUUACACUUUCUCUCAAUGCAUCAUUUUGUCUCGUAUGCUUCGACUCGUGGUCCUCAUAAAUUCCAUUUUAUUAGUUUCUGGAUGAGAGUCGAGGAAAAAAAAACCCAUCUACAACCACAGAUAUCUGCUUUUCUCUUAUUGUCAAACUA